rnacentral:rRNA from 1 species
CUACGGGUGGCUGCAGUGGGGAAUAUUGCACAAUGGGGGAAACCCUGAUGCAGCAACGCCGCGUGGAGGAUGACGCAUUUCGGUGUGUAAACUCCUUUUAUAUAGGAAGAUAAUGACGGUACUGUAUGAAUAAGCACCGGCUAACUCCGUGCCAGCAGCCGCGGUAAUACGGAGGGUGCAAGCGUUACUCGGAAUCACUGGGCGUAAAGCGCGCGCAGGCGGCCUUUUAAGUUGGAUGUGAAAGCCUAUGGCUUAACCAUAGAACUGCAUCCAAAACUAUCAGGCUAGAGUCUGGGAGGGGAAGAUGGAAUUAGUUGUGUAGGGGUAAAAUCCGUAGAGAUAACUAGGAAUACCAAAAGCGAAGGCGAUCUUCUGGAACAGUACUGACGCUGAGGCGCGAAAGUGUGGGGAGCAAACAGGAUUAGAUACCCUUGUAGUC